UUUCGCUCCAACUCCAUACAAUAAAAUCACAGCUGCUGUCCGGCGAAGGAAAGUUUCUACGAUCAUCAAGUUGCAUUUUACACCUUCGCGGGACAAGUUCGAGUAAAAAUAUCAUUAAAACUGCUGGCGUGGCGUUCUCGCUAAACACUUUGAGUGUGUACGUGUCGCAGCCUGCUUGGCCAACGUGCACGCAGCGAUCGGUAUAAGUGGAUCUAGGUCGCUGUGUGCCAGUGUCAUCAUCAUCAUUUCGGGCUGCGGCGUACGCGGCUAGCGACUGAGAUUUUUGCUGAAGCGCCGAGAGCUAUAAGUGAGAUGCUAUCAACUUUCAGUUUCGUCACAUGGCUGGCUGACAUUUGGCGACACGUGUGACUGUGAUAUUGCUAGUCCCGCAUACAGCUGUAAACACGUUUCUCACAGUACAACUGUGAUAUCGCAUAACACCGGUGUAUGUAGGCCUACGCGUGUGUAUAUUGUGUAAGGUGACGCCUUAUGACUGGAAAUUAGUAAUCGACGCUAGGCAGCAUCAGCAUGAGAGUGUACGUAAUCGCUGUCAUCGCCAUCUUCGCCUGCUCGCUCCUCGUCAUCGCCAGCUGUAAGAAGGCGACAACGCCGAGCGGCGACAGCGAGGACGACGACGUUGACGAUGAGGACGACGGGCAGGACCUGUACGAGGUGCUAGGAGUGAAGAGGACGGUGACAGAGAAGGAGAUAAAGAAAGCCUUCAGGAGGCUGGCGGUGAAACAUCACCCCGAUAAACACAAAGGCGAUGCAGAGAAGAAGGAUGCAGAGAAGAGGUUCAGGAAGAUAGCAGCUGCGUACGAGAUUCUCUCUGACAAAGAAAAGAGAGAGAAGUACGACAGGUUUGGCCACGAUGCGUUCAAGCAGCCACGGCCCGGCGGCGGUCCACCGCACGGGUUCCGCCCGCCGGACUUUGACUUCAAUGACUUCUACCGACACUUCGACGACAGCUUUAACUUCCGGCAGCAGGGCGGUCACCAUCGUGACGACCACGACCGUCACAGCUUCAAGUUCGGAAACAGGUUCUUUGAUUUUGAUGACCUGUUUGAUGACAUGGAUAAUGACGAUUUCUUCACUGUCAAUAUGAACCAUGGUGAUCCGUUCAGACCAGGUAACGGGUUCCACAACUUUGGUUUCGGCAACGGCUUUGGGCCGGACAUGUUUGAAGGCCCUCAUCCGCAUUCACCAUGGCAACAGCAACAUCAGCAACAAUCGUGGAUGCCUCAGCAACGCGACGAUGGCAAAUUCCACGCGUGGAGGGAGGCGGAGUUUAGAGAAGCCCACGAACCAUUUAGACGAGCACCACGUCAGCCCGACGACCAUCUGAAUAAGCACCAUCAGCAGCAUAGACAGACUGUACACGAAUGGCAACAGUUUAUGAAGCAGGACGGCCAUCACCAGCAGCACUGCAAGACGGUGACGAAGAGACAGGGAAAUACGGUGUCAACGUCCACGACGUGUAACUGAAGCCCGAAGCCAUACUUGGGAAACGCGAGUCGCUGCUGCAUGCAUGGAUGCGCGCCUCAUCCCUGAUGUAAACAACUUGUCGUGCUUCUGGAAGAGAGCGCUCCAUUGCAGCUCGAUCCAACAACAAACAAGCGCACGACACAGGGGAAGUGUGCGUAGGAUAUCUUCUUCCUAGCUUGCUGGCCGAUCUUCAUUCAAAGAAGAGACUUUUUCGUCGGCUCCUCUCGUGCGUGGAAACCAGCGUGCUAUAUAGGUGUGCGGCGUUCGGUCUACAUUGUACGUGGUUCUUCCGUUACACGCGCGCAUUCAAUGGAUUGAAAAUGAGGAAAAACGCGUUGCAGAUGUACGACGAUAGGUGGCAGCACUGAAUGCAUUCCGGACUCCACCCGGCAUUAG
rnacentral:misc_RNA from 1 species